rnacentral:rRNA from 1 species
ACUGCGAUGGCUCAUUAAAUCAGUUAUCGUUUAUUUGAUAGUACCUUACUACAUGGAUAACCGUGGUAAUUCUAGAGCUAAUACAUGCUAAAAAUCCCGACUUCGGAAGGGAUGUAUUUAUUAGAUUAAAAACCAAUGCCCUUCGGGGCUCUCUGGUGAUUCAUAAUAACUUCUCGAAUCGCACGGCCUUGCGCCGGCGAUGGUUCAUUCAAAUUUCUGCCCUAUCAACUUUCGACGGCUGGGUCUUGGCCAGCCGUGGUGACAACGGGUAACGGAGGGUUAGGGCUCGACCCCGGAGAAGGAGCCUGAGAAACGGCUACUACAUCCAAGGAAGGCAGCAGGCGCGCAAAUUACCCAAUCCCGACACGGGGAGGUAGUGACAAUAAAUACUGAUACAGGGCUCUUUCGGGUCUUGUAAUUGGAAUGAGUACAAUUUAAAUCCCUUAACGAGGAACAAUUGGAGGGCAAGUCUGGUGCCAGCAGCCGCGGUAAUUCCAGCUCCAAUAGCGUAUAUUAAAGUUGUUGAGGUUAAAAAGCUCGUAGUUGAACCUUGGGCCUAGCCGGCCGGUCCGCCUCACCGCGUGCACUGGCUCGGCUGGGUCUUUCCUUCUGGAGAACCUCAUGCCCUUCACUGGGUGUGACGGGGAACCAGGACUUUUACUCUGAACAAAUUAGAUCGCUUAAAGAAGGCCUAUGCUCGAAUACAUUAGCAUGGAAUAAUAGAAUAGGACGUGUGGUUCUAUUUUGUUGGUUUCUAGGACCGCCGUAAUGAUUAAUAGGGACAGUCGGGGGCAUCAGUAUUCAAUUGUCAGAGGUGAAAUUCUUGGAUUUAUUGAAGACUAACUACUGCGAAAGCAUUUGCCAAGGAUGUUUUCAUUAAUCAGGAACGAAAGUUAGGGGAUCGAAGACGAU